rnacentral:lncRNA from 1 species
CAUUUAUUUUCAUUCCCUCUUGAAUCUGGGUUGGCCCUGUGACAGCUUAAAUAGAAUGUGGUGGAAGUGAUGAUAUACCAGUUACAGACACACUUUUUAAGAGGAUUGCAGCAUCCAGGUCCCCCUCUAAGGUUUCUCAUUCUUGGAACAAUUCUUGGAACUCACCCAUCAUACUGUGAGAAACCCAAGCCACAUGUAUAGGACACAUGUUGAUGAUCCAAUUGACAGUCUCAAGCGAACUCUUUGCCAAUAACCAGCAUCAAAUGCUGCCAGGUAAAUGGGAAAUCUUGGCUGUCCCAGCACAAUUGAGCCCAUAGAUGAUGCAGCCAAAUCCAAUUUAUAAGAAACAAGCAACCCCAUUUAGUCCAGUCAACACUAAAAAUAGCGUGAAAUAAUGAAAUAGUUAAGCCAGUAACUUUUGGAGUGGUUUGUUAUAAAAUAAUAGAUAAUUAAAAUAGGAGUCAGCUGUGUAUAGAGGUUAAUGAAGCCAUGAGAUGGUUAAGACAAUCAAUAUGUGACAUGAAAGAAAAAAGGCUAUCUUAGUCUGUUUUCUGUUACCUGAAUUCCAUAAACUGAGUAAUUUAUAAAGAAAAUAAAUGUAUUUAUUUCUUACAGUUCUAGAGGCUGAUAAGUCCAAGCAUAUGGUGCCAGCAUCUGGUGAGGCCUUCUUGCUGUGUAAUCUCAUGGCAGAAGAGUGGAAGGACAAGUGAGCACAUGCAAAAGGGAUUGUACAAGAGUGAAGGCAGUUUUCCUACAGAAACCUUCAAAAAAGGAGAUGCAUCCUUCCUUGUUCCUGGCAGUCUUGCAUUUGAGGAAAUCAGUAUGCUCCAACUUAGACUUAUCUUUUAGUCUCCAGAGGCAGAAAAAAAGCAGAAAAGGUUGUUGAAAUUCUUCACAUUGAUUUCAGGGCAAUGAUCUCAAACGGCGCAGUGGGAACCCGCAAAUUUAAGAGGGUAGUUUCCCUGCACAAGCCCUUUUUUUGCCUGCUGCCAUCCGUGUAAGAUGUGACUUGCUCCUCCUUGUCUUCUACCAUGAUUGUGAGGCCUCCCCAGUUAUGUGGAACUCAAAGCUAGAGGAAACCAAAGUCAUAGAACAUCUGAACUCUGUCCAAACAUCGGUCGUAUUUCAAAAUUUCAGACCGAGUCUCGUUCUGUAGUCCAGGCUGGAGUGCAGUGGCGGGAUCUCCACUCACUGCAAGCUCCACCUCCCAGGUUAAAGCCAUUCUCCUGCCUCAGCCUCCUGAGUAGCUGAGACUACAGGCACUCACCACCACACCCGGCUUAUUUUUUGUAUUUUUAGUAGAGACGGGGUUUCACCGUGUUAGCCAGGAUGGUCUCGAUCUCCUGACCUCGUGAUCUGCCUGCCUCGGCCUCCCAAAGUGCUGGUAUUACAGGCGUGAGCCACCACGCCAGGCCACAAUCUUUCAUUUUUAU